rnacentral:lncRNA from 1 species
CUGGACUAAAGAGGCAGACAAACAGGAAAAAUGUGCUAGACAUUCAAUUACACAUUUCUCAAGCUUCUUCCUUGGCUUGUAAGGUGUAACCCCUGAGAAGGAUCUCCAUUCUCCACCCUCUGAGACUUCAGUCUGAAACUGUCAACUACCUGGCCAGCCAGGGUGCAGCUCUAGUCCAGGGUCCUUAUCCACCCACAACUCAGGCAGAGAGUCCAUCUACUGGAGAGCUCCCUGGUUCAGUGCCCCUGAGGGCUGGGACCAGCACUCUGGGCCAGAAGCAGCUGUGAAGGGAUGGGGUAGUAGCUGAGGACAGAGCCAUGGUUCAUAACGUCUCAGUCCCCCAAACACCACCGCCGGCACUGGUGGGCACCAAUGGCCGCUCCUCUGGUAGGAAGAGGACACCCAAGGCAUGUGACUGCUGUGGGCCAAACUCUAAGCACCACAAUGGGAAGGACCCACAUGGGAAGACUCCGGGUGGCAAGCCCAGACAACGCAGGGCCCAGCCGGGGAAGGGCAGGGGCCAGGCACUGGGGGAGACCCCCAAGAGGAUGGGUGGUCACCACUCUUCUGAGAAGACCCUGAUGACAGAGGAGCAGGUAACAGCCAUCCAAGAGGAGCUGGAGAAAGACUCAGUUGUGGAGGAGGUAACCAACUCCUUGGCUCCACCUGUAACCAACUCUGUCGGUCAACCUGUAAUGAAUGUUGUGGCUCAACUUGUAACCAACUCUGUCGGUCAACCUCAACCUUUAACAGACUAUAUGGGUCAACCCUUAAUGAACUCUAUGGGUCAGAAGUUAACGUACACUGUGGUUAAACUGGUGACCAAGUCUGUGGUUCAACCGGUAACAACUGCUAUGGUUCAACCGGUAACAUACUCUGUGGAUCAACCUAUAAUGAAGGCUGUGGUUGAGCAUGUUCCUGAUUCAGAGAUGGAGCAGGAGAAUGGUUGUGAAGGGGCUGUGUGCGAGGGGGAGCAGGCCCCUGGUCUGGAGAUGGAGCAGGAGAAUGGUUGUGGUUUAGACAAACAGCCGGUAACUGACUCUAACACGGAGGUCAUGAAGCAGCCCCGGACUGGUGACGCAGCUGUCUCCCUUUCCAACGGUACAUCUGCUGUGCUCAACGAGGAACCAACAGACUGUAGC